rnacentral:rRNA from 1 species
AUGGAGCAACAAAUAGCAGGAGAAGAAGAGGAUUGGAAGUACGACUCUUCUGAUGAGGACUACAGUUAUAAGGAAGAUUAUGAUGGAGAGGUAGUUAAGAGAAAGAGCAUAUUUCCAAGGUAUAACAAUGACACUGAGAUACCACAUUUUGCAUUGUCCAUGGUUUUCAGAAGCAAGAACCAGCUUUGUAAAGCUCUGACAAGGUAUGGUCUGGUUACUAAGAGGAGCAUCAGGUUCAUCAAAUCAGAAAGUGACAGAGUUAGGGCCAAGUGUGGAUGGGAUGGUUGCCCUUGGCUUAUCUAUGCAGCCAAAAGAUCAAGAACAUCCACAUUCCAAGUUAUUACUUUCAAUGAUGAGCAUGAAUGUGCACAAAAUAGGUGCAACAGGCUUGUGACUGCUAAGUUGAUUGCAUAG